UCCCUGAUGGCUGUGUGGUAAAGAAUCCGCCUGCAAUGCGGGAGACCUGGGUUUGAUCCCUGGGUUGGGAA
rnacentral:tRNA from 1 species